AAAGAGGCUACAAAGCAGAGAGCUGGGAAUUGGCUGUUGCCCCUCUAUGCAAACACCACCUUCUCACUUUUCUUCCCUUCUCAUCUUUCUUUUAUCUACUAUUUCUCUUUUUUAUAUUAAAAUGGCCACACUAACAACAAUAUUUUAAGUAGGUGUCGCAUUCCUACUAAUUCCAAUCUUGAUAAUAAUAAUGGCCUCCUUCAUGCAUAAAAAUUCACAUCAUUCUGAUUUUCCAAGCAACAACUCAAGUGUGGUAGGGGCUUUGCAAAAUUUCCAAGCAACAGCACACACAAACCUCCGGAUGGUUAGUUUUCUUACGAUUUCAUGUAUACAAUCCUUGAUUCAUAUAAGAUCGAAUACAUCCUCUUACUGCGGUCGUUGAAAAAUUAGUCUCGCAAGCAUAUAUGAAGCGGAAUCGGACAUCUUCAAAGAACUGAUUAAAUCUGAAGACGAUUCAUUUUGUGUGAAUAUACUCCACAAAAAUUAAGGAUGCUUGGAAGAAGACGAGUUUUUCUUUUCGAAAUAUUAAAGUUUUAUUGUCUAAAUUUCCCCGGUCAUCUUGCAUGUCCGAUGGUUAGAUGAUAAGCUUUCAUUCUCAUUGUCAAAAAAAAAAAAAAAUUUAUCACUCCACUUUUAUUAUAACGCUAUUAAAUUUCAAUACUUUAACAA